rnacentral:rRNA from 1 species
UACAACAUAGCGUUAAUGCAUUGGAUUCCAUUAUAAAUAUGUAGUUAAUAAUGCUCAGGAUAGAGUAGAACUGGGAUGGGUGACCACCUGAGAAGUUCUAGUGUUUUAC